rnacentral:snoRNA from 1 species
CUAAUUAUCUACCAAAGAUCAUUUCUUAAGUAUGUGUCGCAACGGUAUCCGAUUCUAUUGAGCGGAUCAACAACAUCACGAUGAUGUGAGAUUGCGUUGAGUCCUGACCGUGAAACAGGUUUUUCUCUAUCGUUCGUUUCUCGCCUCUAACGAAUGUGAGAAAUCUAUUGAGGAUCGUUCUUAAGAGGUUUAAUAAAUUCUUAAAGAGGGACUCAAUACUUUUUGAGUGAU